AUGUCAGAGCAUGUCGGAUUAAAGUUCGCCGUUUCAGCUGGGAAGCUGCUGGGUGGAAUCAGGAAUUUGGCACAUCAGUCAAACGUCAAACCUUCCACCCUCUCCUUUCCCCCCGACGAUACAAAGAAAAAGAAACAAGGUCGUGCAAAAAUGGUGAAGCGCUUAGGUCUAAUACUCUCUCCUCCUCUCACUACUCUCUCCUCCUCUCACUACUCUCUUCUCCUCUCACUACUCUCUUCUCCUCUCACUACUCUCUUCUCCUCUCACUACUCUCUCCUCCUCUCACUACUCUCUUCUCCUCUCACUACUCUCUUCUCCUCUCACUACUCUCUUCUCCUCUCACUACUCUCUUCUCCUCUCACUACUCUCUUCUCCUCUCACUACUCUCUCCUCCUCUCACUACNNNNNNNNNCUCUCACCACUCUCUCUUCUCCUUUCACUACUCUCUCCUCCUCUCACUACUCUCUAUUCUCCUCUCUCUACUCUCUUCUCCUCUCAUUAUUCUCUCACCUCAUCUCUUCUCCAAUCACAACUCUCUCCUCCUCUCUCCUCUCGCUACUCUCUCCUCCUUUCUCUUCUUCUCUCACUACUCUCUUCUCCUCUCACUAUGCUCUUCUCCUCCCGCUACUCUCUUCUCCGCUCUCCUCCUCUCUCUUCUCCUCUCACUACUCUCUUAUCCUCUUCUCCUCUUUUCUCCUCUCCUCCUUUCUCUCCGCCUCUCUUCUCUUCUCCUCUCUCCUCCUCUCACUAAUCUAUUCUCCUCUCCUCCUCUCUCUCCUCUCCUCUCUCUCUUCUCCUCUCACUACUCUCUUCUCCUCUCCUCUCUCUCUGCAUCUCUUCUCUUCUCCUGUCUCUCUCCUCCUCUCACUAAUCUCUUCUCCUCUACUCCUUUCUCUCCUCUUCUCUCUCUUCCUCUCAAUACUCUCUUCUCCUCUCUUUCCUCAUCUCACUACUCUCUCUUCCUCUCUCUUCUCUCUCACUACUCUCUUGUCCUUUCCUCCUUUCUUCUCCUCUCACUACUCUCUCCUCUCUCUCCUCCUCUCACUACUCUCAUCCUCUCUCUCUUCUCCUCUCACUACGCUCUCCUCCUCUCCUCCUCUCACUACGCUCUCCUCCUCUCACUAUUCUCUCCACCGCUCUCCUCCUCUCUCUCUUCUUACUACUCUCUUCUCCUCUCACUCCUCUCUCUCCUCUCCUCCUCUCACUACUCUCUUCUCCUCUCACUACUCUCUCCACCUCUCUCCUCCCUCCUCCACUUUCUUCUCCUCUCAAUACUCUCUCUUCCUCUCACUACUCUAUUUUCUUCUCACUAAUCACUCCCUGGCUCCUUGUUUACAUCACGGCAAACCACAGAGGGACAGUGAGAAUUCAAAACACAGUCACGGCCAAAAGAAACAUUACUAUUGUUCCCGUCAUCAGCUGCCUGUCCAUUAUGUAAAAGUGAAUCCGCUGUCAAUCAAACAGUGGGACGUGGGUUGGCCAAACAAGUUCACUGGGUUAUAUAAAGAGACAACAGGGUAG
rnacentral:lncRNA from 1 species